UCGCCGUUUCAUGAUUCAAAGAAUGCGUUUUAAUCGCUGUUCAUGUGAUUUUGGUUGGGGGGUUUCCUAUUUUCUUUUUGGUGAAUUACGGAUGUAGAGAAUUUUAUGGGAUUUUGGAUCUGUGUCUUAAUUAUUUAUUGGAGUGUCUGAAUGUGGUGUUUUGGGUAGAUCUUGUGGUUUUUGUUGAUUUGUCGAUGUUGUCGAUUUGAGUUCAUUCAUUAAAGGACAAGCUAGGUUAUGUAUGCUUUAGUUAAGUGUUUGCUGUUUCAUUUUUUAUUUAAGGUUGUUAGGUGGGUGGUGUUGGUGGAUUUAAGCUUCGUAGUACAUUCAAGACUACUUGUUGUAAAAUCUUUGUUUUAGAAUAGUUCUUACAAAUUUAGUAGAUCAGAUGUAAAUCCCGUGUAGUUUGCUGAUGCAGAAAAAGGAUUAAAAGAAACUCUACAGGACAAAUAAUAGAAGAACAUAAAAUUGCAAAUUCAUUGGAUCGGAAGGGAUAUUUGUGAAGGGUUAGCAGAAGAAUUUUGUUGUGAAGUAGAGAGCCAAAUCACCUAAUUCAGAAUCCUGAUUAAGUUCCAUGGAAGAAGAGCAUCAAUAUUCUGAAAGUAGUGAAGAACUACAGACCCAGAAACCGGAUGGAGAAGAUCAACAAUUGCAGCAUCAAUACCAACUACCUGGAGCUGAAGAGAAACUAGUAUUGCAAUUUAUGGAUUCAGUGCAUAACUACCUAUCUCUCUUUGAUAAAGUGUCCUCCACACUUCGGCAGGGAUGGUUUGACUUAGCAAGUGCUCGACAUUCCAUGGGUGCUGCUCGCAUUAAUAGUUCUUUGUUGGACCUGAAAUUCCAUUCAGCUGCUACAACAUUGAAGAUAACCAACUAUGAUGGUACACAACCAUGCUUCAUAUUGCGUAAAUGGGCAUCCUCUGCAGAAAAGGGUAUUCAUGAGUUAGAGGAUGAGAAUAUCCAGCCACAAGAUAGUAGUGUGAAAUCUUGCGGACUUGCAGAUAAUGCUGACGUAAGUAUUCUACAAAUGUUAAACCUCCUCUCAUUACAAGUAGAAUUGACUUUGAUCUCUAAUGUGGUUGCUAUCAUGAAAUAUGAAUCAAAAGGAGCGAUCCAAGUCCCUAUCAGUUUUUGGAGUUUUAAUUUCCCCAAAGGUUCGAGCCUCCCAGCUGUUAUUUGAGGAAGCACUAGAGACACUUGUAGAAAUAGCUAAUAUGCAAUCGUCAUUGUUAUAUUCUUUUCACCAACUUCAGAAGGUGGAAGAUAACAAAGAAUGAAAAGUACCAUACGAGCUCCUUCUGGUGGAAAUAUUAUUUCAGUAUUGGGAAUGCAGCAUUGGCUGGUUUUAUUGUUGAAUUCAUUGAUGUAUCGAUGAAGUGGAAUACCAGAGACACUGAGAGGAAUUGAAUUGAGUGUCCACUCUCCCAACCAUGGCCAACUCCACCUUCUUCCUGUUUAACUUUUUUCCUUGUCAAACAAUUCAUAUCUUCCAUACGUCAUUUUCAAACAAAUGCAGACAUUCCAUUCUAAACGCUAACGAAGCCUAUGUUGAAAACUUCGUGUUUCUACAAAUGUUGUUUACUAUUUAUUGCCUUUAAGAUAUUAUAUAAUGAAAUUAAACUCUUUGUACUAUUCUCACCCAGAACAUUUGGGUGACAAAUAAGUAAUAAAUAAUUUUGUUUCA